CCUACGGGAUGCAGCAGUGGGGAAUAUUGGACAAUGGGCGAAAGCCUGAUCCAGCCAUGCCGCGUGUGUGAAGAAGGCCUUCGGGUUGUAAAGCACUUUCAGUGGGGAAGAAAGCCUUGGGGCUAAUACCCUCGAGGAAGGACAUCACCCACAGAAGAAGCACCGGCUAACUCCGUGCCAGCAGCCGCGGUAAUACGGAGGGUGCGAGCGUUAAUCGGAAUUACUGGGCGUAAAGCGCGCGUAGGCGGUCUGAUAAGCCGGUUGUGAAAGCCCCGGGCUCAACCUGGGAACGGCAUCCGGAACUGUCAGGCUAGAGUGCAGGAGAGGAAGGUAGAAUUCCCGGUGUAGCGGUGAAAUGCGUAGAGAUCGGGAGGAAUACCAGCGGCGAAGGCGGCCUUCUGGACUGACACUGACGCUGAGGUGCGAAAGCGUGGGUAGCAAACAGGAUUAGAUACCCGGGUAGUC
rnacentral:rRNA from 1 species